rnacentral:rRNA from 1 species
UAACCUGCCUUGGAGUGGGGAAUAACAGCUGGAAACAGCUGCUAAUACCGCAUAAUAUAUCUGUGUCGCAUGGCACUGGAUAUCAAAGAUUUAUCGCUCUGAGAUGGACUCGCGUCUGAUUAGCUUGUUGGCGGGGUAACGGCCCACCAAGGCGACGAUCAGUAGCCGGACUGAGAGGUUGGCCGGCCACAUUGGGACUGAGACACGGCCCAGACUCCUACGGAAGGCAGCAG